rnacentral:rRNA from 1 species
AGAGACAGCAGUCGCCACGGUAAUACGUAGGUGGCAAGCGUUGUCCGGAAUUAUUGGGCGUAAAGCGCGCGCAGGCGGAUAGGUCAGUCUGUCUUAAAAGUUCGGGGCUUAACCCCGUGAUGAGAUGGAAACUUCCAACCUAGAGUAUCGGAGAGGAAAGUGGAAUUCCUAGUGUAGCGGUGAAAUGCGUAGAUAUUAGGAAGAACACCAGUGGCGAAGGCGACUUUCUGGACGAAAACUGACGCUGAGGCGCGAAAGCCAGGGGAGCGAACGGGAUUAGAUACCCCUGUAGUCCCUGUCUCUUAUACC